CGUCUCUUGGCGUAGUUGGUAGCGCGUUCCCUUGACAUGGGAAAGGUCACUGGUUCGAGUCCAGUAGAGACGACCA
rnacentral:tRNA from 3 species